UACGUAGGGCGCAAGCGUUGUCCGGAAUUAUUGGGCGUAAAGAGCUCGUAGGCGGUUUGUCGCGUCUGCUGUGAAAACCUAAGGCUCAACCUUGGGCUUGCAGUGGGUACGGGCAGACUAGAGUGCGGUAGGGGUGACUGGAAUUCCUGGUGUAGCGGUGGAAUGCGCAGAUAUCAGGAGGAACACCGGUGGCGAAGGCGGGACUCUGGGCCGUAACUGACGCUGAGGAGCGAAAGCGUGGGGAGCGAACAGG
rnacentral:rRNA from 1 species